UUUUAAAAUUAUGAUGGUCAUGCGUGUGUGGUGUCAUUGAUUGGUCUGUUGAUGCGUGUUAUAGUAUUUAAGAAGUUAUUUCGCGCAUGUUAAUGCAGACUUGAUUCCUUGACACCAGACUGGCAUGUUCUGGUUUUGAUUUAGAUUUGAUGCGUGUGUGGAGGAUGGAUGUGAUAUAUGUGCUUAUAUGUGCUGACAUAAGGCAAGUAGGCGUACAGGUUUGUAAUAAUGGAUGUGUUUUGAGUAAGUCCUCGCUCUGGGGCACGCACAAGCUUCACCUUUGUGUUUGUCAGGUAUCGAUUAGGAACACUGACAGAUCUGAAUUCAAGCUGAAUGUUUGGUUCUGUGUUAACAAGUUUCAUGGAAAAGACCCCUGCAUCAUCUUGAAGGUUGGAGAUGAGCCAUGGUUCAGUGAGGUACGCUGCUCCAAGAAGAAGAACUUUGUCUGUGCCAAGAAUAUGUGAUUAUCUCCAGCUGCUGUUUGCGUCAGUGUGGAUGUAAAGCAUGAAAGCACAGACGUUUCACCAAACACCAGCUGUCGAGUUAAAAAUCAUCUGGCCAGUCAUUUUCAUAGAAAGAGUAUAGAGUAAUUUACAGUGGGAGCAAUAAUUAUUUGAUCCCUUGCUGAUUUUGUAGGUUUGCCCACUAACAAAGAAUGAAACUGUUACAAUGACAAUGAUGCAAAUAAAAUUUUAGCUUUAUUUUUCACAAAGUCAUACAGGUGGUCAUUCUCUUUAUGAAAUAAAAGUCAAAAGACCAGACAGUCAGUGAUAUUGAACACCUGCACAGAAUGAUGCUCCAGCAAAGGAGGAAGAUAUUUUCCAUUAAGAUGCACUCCUAAUCUCAACUCAUUACCCAAAACACCUGUGUCAACUCGUUACAUCGUUAUGUAGCUGUAUAAAAGACACCUGUUCCUUGCCCCCGUCGCCAAGUGCUUGCUUGUGGUUGUUCUGUUGGGUCUCUGAAAAUAAUGUUUGUAAUGAUAGUAAUCAGUUACUCUGUUAAUUUAAGUCUGCUGACGUCUCUAUAACACUUGAAUCUUUGUGUUAUUGUAUUUAGAAGCUGAUAUGAAGUUGACCAAAGACGCCUCAGUGCCUUUUCCAACAUACUGACACACACACACACACACUGUGUCUGCUGCAGUGAUGUUGACGUACUGUAUUAGGCUGAGCAAUUAAUUCCCCCUUUAUAGAAUUUGGAGCUAAUGUUUGAAUUUGUUCUGUAAACUGAUAAUAUAUAAAUAAAGUGUUUAAAAAAGGACAACAUGAGCUUCAUGAGUUUUUAUUUUUUUAUUAUGUAAGUUGUUCAGUCACUUUGAGUUCAUGUUAGGCUGCAGCACAUUUGUUACUGAGGUCAUUAUUUGUCUGUUCAAAGGGGCCCCAUGAAGAGAUAUUACAUAGAACCUAAUCGACCCAUUCAAAGCUUUAAAUAACUCAUAUAAUCAUAUUUUACUGUCCGAUUUUUAAACCUUACAUUAACUUCUUUAGUUAAAAUAAAUGUUCACUCAUCAUUCAAUGUUACAAACUGUCUGACAUCCAGUGCAGACUGAAGGAUGUUUCUGUUUUCUGUUUCAUAUAAUGAUCAUUAUGUGUAAAAUGGAUUACACUGAUUGAUACAGAGUCUCUCUGGAUGUUGCUGCAAAGAAGAAAAGCAAAAUAAACUGUUGUAUUAGUAUAUUGUAAAUAAAAUGUACUUAAUGUGCUAAUAUUGAUAAAUCUUAAGCUAAAGCUAAGCUAAAUAAAAAGCUCAGAAACUUAAAGUUAAAUGUGAACAUUUGUAAAAUAUCCUCCAGUGUCACAAUUAUUUCCUCCGCUCUUCUUUUCUGCCACCUUCUGGUCAUUGUGGUCACUGCAGUCCCGUGAUGGGAACGUUUUCCUCAACUGCGUUUUGCUUCUUUGGGAUCUUUAUUCAUUCUUCUGCUUCCUUAUUAUGCCUGUGUUCAAACAGAAACAGGAAAGUGUUACAGUUGUUGUGUUCAUGUGUUUUUGUCUAAUCAAUGAAUGAGUGUUAAAGGGACACUUCACCCAUUUGCAUUAAGCUUUGUAUCAUUAGAACUGCAGUCAUAUUUUUGACUGGUCGUGCAUC
rnacentral:lncRNA from 15 species